rnacentral:lncRNA from 1 species
AAAACAGUUCCGGUGCCUGAACUGUCCAGGAGUGUCAGGAACAUAACCAUAUGCAGGACAGUUGAGUUCAGGUUCUGAGGUUCAGCUCCAUCCAACAGGACAUUCUCAUAAUGGAUACAGAACUUUCUAAAACUGAUGACAACUGUGGCGAUCACUCCACUACUGAACAGGGCAUGGAAAAAACACAGCAGUCCUUGGAACCCUGUGAGAAACCUGACGAUAAACAGUCAAAAUCUAAGCAGGUGGGCAUACUUUUUUUUUUUUAAAC